UACUAACUAUGUAAAGAGGAGUUGCGCUAACAACUCCCCUACAGCACCGUUUAAGACGGUAGCAGUUUUAAUAGUUAAAAAAUA
rnacentral:sRNA from 1 species